AAGAAGCAUCAAUGACAGUUUUGACCCGUGACUCUUCUUGACAUUUCAUUGCAUAGUCCAAAAAUAUUAAAUUUUAAUUAUUAAGUGUAUUUAUUAUCUAUGAUAUUAAACUUGUUAUUUGUCCUGGGCGAUACAUUUGCAGGGGUUCGGAGUGGCUUGAAUUAGCCGCUUCCACGUUCAAGUUUUGGACCGCGACGUAGGGCAGGAUAAAAGUUCGUUACCUAAAAUGAAUUUGAUUUCACAGGCAAUAGUACAAUUGGAGGAGAAUUAUCGAUUUGUAUUCACAUUAAUUGUUAUAGCAUUUACGAUUUUCUUCGUUUAUGAUAAAGUUAAUAGAGAUUCUGAAUGCGAAGAAAAUAUGUCAAGGCUUGAGAGAAAUUGCUAGUCUUAUUUUGCAAAUAGAGUUUAAAAUAUUUAUGGGACGUUCAAUAAUAUAAAUGAAAUUGAUGAAAAGGUAGUUACGAAAUUUUGGAGAUCAACAAUCUUAGGAGCAGAAAGGUCAUUAAUUUUAUGUAAGAAUAUCUUUAGAAAAUUCCUUUGAAAAAAUAAUAAUAUGUAAAAUAAAAGUAACGAAUAUUUUU